rnacentral:tRNA from 1 species
AUUUAUAUAGUUUAAAAAAAAACUUAUAUUUUCAAUAUAAAAAUAAUUAAAUUUAAUUUAUAAAUA